UGUAAAAGAAAAGCUCCUCCUGCGAUUUGUCAGAUUAAAGCAAUUUUUAUAUGAUUUUAAAUGAAACCUGUUAUUUCUGUCUGAGAACCAUUACAAUGUUUUAAGAGUUACAUGGACUUUUUUUUUUUUAUCAUCGUGUCAGAGAUGAGUGAACGGGGAUAAAUCGAUAAUAGUGGACACUGAUGGACACCCCACCUCCUUCGUUUGGUGACAAAUUCUAGACUGGCAAGGUUCUCAAUAUAACACAGAUGACCUAUCCUGUUGCAGUUUACAAGAAAGCACACAGACUCCCCAACUGAGACUGGGGCCCCGAUGUCCUAGGCACUGGACAGAGGCAGUUCUUGUUCUGAAGGGAGUACAGUCUAAA